rnacentral:rRNA from 1 species
AACCAGCACCUCAAGUGGUCAGGAUGAUUAUUGGGCCUAAAGCAUCCGUAGCCGGCUCUGUAAGUUUUCGGUUAAAUCUGUACGCUCAACGUACAGGCUGCCGGGAAUACUGCAGAACUAGGGAGUGGGAGAGGUAGACGGUACUCGGUAGGAAGUGGUAAAAUCCUUUGAUCUAUUGAUGACCACCUGUGGCGAAGGCGGUCUACCAGAACACGUUCGACGGUGAGGGAUGAAAGCUGGGGGAGCAAACCGG